rnacentral:rRNA from 1 species
GACGAACGCUGGCGGCGUGCCUAAUACAUGCAAGUCGAGCGAGCUUGCCUAGAUGAAUUUGGUGCUUGCACCAAAUGAAACUAGAUACAAGCGAGCGGCGGACGGGUGAGUAACACGUGGGUAACCUGCCCAAGAGACUGGGAUAACACCUGGAAACAGAUGCUAAUACCGGAUAACAACACUAGACGCAUGUCUAGAGUUUAAAAGAUGGUUCUGCUAUCACUCUUGGAUGGACCUGCGGUGCAUUAGCUAGUUGGUAAGGUAACGGCUUACCAAGGCAAUGAUGCAUAGCCGAGUUGAGAGACUGAUCGGCCACAUUGGGACUGAGACACGGUCCAAACUCCUACGGGAGGCAGCAGUGAGGAAUAUUGGUCAAUGGGCGGAAGCCUGAACCAGCCAAGUAGCGUGCAGGAAGACGGCCCUAUGGGUUGUAAACUGCUUUUAUGCGGGGAUAAAGUGAGGGACGUGUCCUUCAUUGCAGGUACCGCAUGAAUAAGGACCGGCUAAUUCCGUGCCAGCAGCCGCGGUAAUACGGAAGGUCCGGGCGUUAUCCGGAUUUAUUGGGUUUAAAGGGAGCGUAGGCCGUGGAUUAAGCGUGUUGUGAAAUGCAGGUGCUCAACGUCUGCACUGCAGCGCGAACUGGUCCACUUGAGUGUGCGCAACGCAGGCGGAAUUCGUCGUGUAGCGGUGAAAUGCUUAGAUAUGACGAAGAACUCCGAUUGCGAAGGCAGCUUGCGGGAGCACAACUGACGCUGAAGCUCGAAAGUGCGGGUAUCGAACAGG